rnacentral:tRNA from 1 species
GGGGCUGGAGCAUAGCAGGUUAAAGCCCCAGCCUGCAGUGCUGGCAUCCCAUGUGGGUGCUGGUUUGAGUCCUGGCUGCUCCA